rnacentral:rRNA from 1 species
UGCAGUCGACGGGAUCAUUGAGGUAGCAAUAUCGCGAUGGUCUAGUGGCGAACGGGUGCGUAACACGUGGAUACAUUCCGGGAAGCGGGGGAUAGCCCAGGGAAACUUGGAUUAAUACCGCAUGUGGUCGAGAGACUAAAGGCAGGGACCGCAAGGCCUGCCACUUCCCGAUUGGUCCGCGGCCUAUCAGCUAGUUGGCGGGGUAACAGCCCACCAAGGCUACGACGGGUAGCUGGUCUUAGAGGACGACCAGCCACACUGGAACUGAGACACGGUCCAGACACCUACGGGUGGCAGCAGUCGAGAAUCUUUCACAAUGGGGGCAACCCUGAUGGAGCGACGCCGCGUGGAGGAUAAGGUCUCCGGAUUGUAAACUCCUGUCAUGUGUGAACAAGGCUGUCGUGUUAAUAGCAUGGCAGAUUGAUGGUAACACAAGAGGAAGAGACGGCUAACUCUGUGCCAGCAGCCGCGGUAAUACAGAGGUCUCAAGCGUUGUUCGGAAUCACUGGGCGUAAAGGGUGCGUAGGUGGCGUGGUAAGUCAGAUGUGAAAGCCCGGGGCUCAACCUCGAAAUUGCAUCCGAUACUGCCAUGCUAGAGUACUGAAGAGGUGACUAGAAUUCUCGGUGUAGCAGUGAAAUGCGUAGAUAUCGAGAGGAAUACCAACGGCGAAGGCAGGUCACUGGGCAGUUACUGACACUGAGGCACGAAGGCCAGGGGAGCAAACGGGAUUAGAUACCCCGGUAGUCCUGGCAGUAAACGGUGCACGUUUGGUGUGGGCGCAAUCGACCGCGUCCGCGCCGGAGCUAACGCGUUAAACGUGUCGCCUGGGAAGUACGGUCGCAAGAUUAAAACUCAAAGAAAUUGACGGGGACCCGCACAAGCGGUUGGAGUAUGUGGCUUAAUUCGAUGCAACGCGAAGAACCUUACCUGGUCUUGACAUGCAUUGUGUCUCCGGUGAAAGCCGGAUAGGGUAGCAAUACCCGCUUUGCGCAGGUGCUGCAUGGCUGUCGUCAGCUCGUGUCGUG